UCUGUCUCAACAGGAAUGUAACUGGGUCAUUGCAUUGCCUUUUUUUCCCACUGCUUUUUCUGCAUCCUUUUCAUCUGCUUGAAAGCUGACAGAGCAGUGGGAACUUCAAAGGAAUUUGUAGUUUGAGGUUUUUCCUUUUCCCUCAUGGAAAACCUCCAGAAUCAAUGAAAACAUAGAGCACAUGCUACGUAUUCCCCCAACAGAAAGCAACGCUAGCAAGCUGUUGGGUACAAAAUGCUUUGAAAUUUCCUGUUUGGAAGACAACUGAUUAUCAAACAACUGUUAUACCGUGCAACAGAGAUCACAGUUCCUCUUUGGUGCUGGAAAAACUAAGGAUUAAACAGGCUUCUCCUAGGGGAGGGAUCGUUUGGGAUAGGUGUCCCCUGCAGAGCUGCAGUACAGUAAGCCCAUGAUUCUUUCACCAGCCACCAGCUCCUGUGUUCCAGCCCAGGCCAUUGGCAGCUCAGAGCUCUCCCCUUCUCCCUGCACCCCUGGAACAUGCAUGGCUCGUUAACAGCAACCUGGCAAUCAGAAGAGCCUGCUAUGGCAGCAGCAGCUUUUCCAGAGCUGUCCCACGUGCAGUGCAGGGCAGAGGCUGUUUGCCAAGGUGAGGUGCUCCCAGCAACAGGCUGAGAUGGAGCCUGUGGGAGAGAGCAUUUGUCCUCACCAAAUGCAACCAGCUGGAGCAAACUUUGCUUCCUUGCAAAGUGCUUCCACCUUGCAGUCCUGCCUGCCCAGAUACUCACCCUGCUCCCUGAUGCAUACAUAUGCAGCCAAGUGCCAGGGAGCAGACAGAGGAAGAGCCAUCUGGCUUCUACCAAGCUCAUUCCCACGUUGGAGCUGGGGGAGCUGCUGGAACAAAAGAUGGCAUCACUUGGGAGUGCCUGGACUAGAGAGUUUCAGGGGGAAGCAGUCUCUGCGUGGUCCUCUGCCGAUUGCAUCGGGGAAAGUCAUUAAAAAGAAUUAAAAAGGAAACAGAAAGAGACGGAAGACGGGGGAAAAAAACCCAACUAAACAGCCCCAAACAGUUAUAAACUCAAACAAAAGAACAACAGGAUCUUCCUGCUCAAAGGUCUGGGCCACUCUUACCUUGACGGCAAAGGACAGCAGUACUCCAGCGAUUUACUGGGAGAAUGGAGGAAAGCCUUGGCUAGAUGGUGGAAGGUGUCUCAGGGAGAGCAGUACCAAGGCUGCUUCAACAGGCUGGUAGCAUGAAGGUAACUCUAAGGACAUCUUGUUGCCUGUGGCUG